GCAUAUUUUUUAAUAUGUUAUUUCUGCUCAAUGAUUUAAAUAGCUGCAGUAAUCUGACUGUACUAAGGUAGCAUAAUCAUUAGUUUCUUAAUAAGAAACUGGAAUGAAGGAAUUUAAAAAUUAUUUAAUUUUUAAUAAUUUUAUUAAGUUUUAUUUUAAGUGAAAAUACUUAAAAUUUAAGUUUAGACGAUAAGACCCUAUAAAUUUUAAAUUAUAUUUUCUUUGGGGUAAAGUAAAUUUAUAUUAAAUUAUUGUUUUAAAUUACUUUAGGGGUUAACAGGGUAAUAUUAUUAUUAAGAUCUUAUUAAUAAUAAUGUUUACUACCUCGAUGUUGGAUCAUUAUACUAAUUAAGUAGAAUUAAUUAAUUUUAGUCUGUUAGACUAUACAAUUUUACG
rnacentral:rRNA from 1 species